rnacentral:rRNA from 1 species
UACGGAGGGUGCAAGCGUUAUCCGGAUUCACUGGGUUUAAAGGGCGCGUAGGCGGUCUACUAAGUUGGAUGUGAAAACUCUGGGCUUAACCCAGAGCCUGCAUUCAAAACUGAUAGGCUAGAGUUCUGGAGGGGAUAGCGGAAUUCCUGGUGUAGCGGUGAAAUGCGUAGAUAUCAGGAGGAACACCAGUGGCGAAGGCGGCUAACUGGUCCAGAUCUGACGCUGAGGUGCGAAAGCGUGGGGAGCAAACAGG